AGUGAACGCUGGCGGCGUGCUUAACACAUGCAAGUCGAACGAGAACGGAAUAUAGCUUGCUAUAUUUGUCAGCUAAGUGGCGCACGGGUGAGUAAUGUAUAGAUAACCUGCCCUUAAGAAAGGAAUAACAGUUGGAAACGACUGCUAAUGCCCUAUAUGCCUUUAAUACAUAAGUAUGCAAGGGAAACGCUUUAGUGCUUAAGGAUGGGUCUGUAUGGUAUCAGCUUGUUGGUGAGGUAAUGGCCCACCAAGGCUAUGACGCCUAACUGGUUUGAGAGGAUGAUCAGUCACACUGGAACUGAGACACGGUCCAGACUCCUACGGGAGGCAGCAGUGGGGAAUAUUGCACAAUGGGCGAAAGUCUGAUGCAGCAACGCCGCGUGGAGGAUGACACAUUUCGGUGCGUAAACUCCUUUUAUAUAGGAAGAUAAUGACGGUACUAUAUGAAUAAGCACCGGCUAACUCCGUGCCAGCAGCCGCCGUAA
rnacentral:rRNA from 1 species